rfam:Schistosoma mansoni strain Puerto Rico chromosome 2, complete genome
AUCCAGCUGACGAGUUCCAAAUAGAACGAAACGCGCAUCCUGGAU